CACGUAGGGGGCGAGCGUUGUCCGGAUUUAUUGGGCGUAAAGAGCUCGUAGGCGGUUAGACAAGUCGGGUGUGAAAGCUCGAGGCUCAACCUCGAGACGUCGGUUGAAACCGUAAGGCUAGAGUCCGGAAGAGGAGAGUGGAAUUCCCGGUGUAGCGGUGAAAUGCGCAGAUAUCGGGAAGAACACCCGUGGCGAAGGCGGGACUCUGGGCCGAUACUGACGCUGAGGAGCGAAAGCGUGGGGAGCGAACAGG
rnacentral:rRNA from 1 species